CCUCUAUAAAAAGAAGAAAUCAAAGAGGCGCUCCUCAGAGAGGCGUCCUCUCGUAAAUCGAAGAGUCGGGGCUCCUUUCUCAAAAGCCGGAGUUUUUUCUCAAAAGAGGGGCUCCUUUCUCAAAAGUCGGAUUCUUUUCUCAAAAGAGGCGUUUCAUUUCUUAAAAAUUGGGCUUGCUCAGAAACCACGAGCCGAACCCCGGAUUUCGCAAGAUCAAUUCGUCCAGACGUGUUGUCACCCGUCACACGCAAACUCAGCUCUGCGAAAAUCACGGGCAGUCUGUCGAAGUGCCGAUUCCAACCAUCUGUCUCUCUCAGCCUAGUCAGCACUUGUCACAUGCAACUGGCAGCUUUGCGGAAAUUACGGGCAGCUUUGUCAGAAAGCGCGUAAUUUGUAUUCUUCACC
rnacentral:lncRNA from 1 species